rnacentral:rRNA from 1 species
CACGGGGGGAGCAAGCGUUGUUCGGAAUCACUGGGCGUAAAGGGCGUGUAGGCGGUCAGGUAAGUGGGAUGUGAAAUGCCUCGGCUCACCCGAGGACCUGCAUCCCAAACUGCUUGGCUUGAGUAUGGGAGAGGAUGAGGGAAUUCCUGGUGUAGCGGUGAAAUGCGUAGAUAUCUGGAGGAACACCGGUGGCGAAGGCGGCAUCCUGGACCAACACUGACACUGAGGAGCGAAAGCCAGGGGAGCAAACGGG